CGAUUGGUCCUCCUGGGAGUGCAUUCCGUAUGGAAGACUAGUGAUUUUGUUGUUUGGUCUUUGGUAAUAACAAUAAAUCCCUUGUCUUCUUACGGCGUGCAUUUGUGCUCUUCAUUCUAUCG
rnacentral:pre_miRNA from 15 species